rnacentral:rRNA from 1 species
UACGUAGGGUGCAAGCGUUAUCCGGAAUUAUUGGGCGUAAAGAGCUCGUAGGCGGUUUGUCGCGUCUGCUGUGAAAACCUAAGGCUCAACCUUGGGCUUGCAGUGGGUACGGGCAGACUAGAGUGCGGUAGGGGUGACUGGAAUUCCCGGUGUAGCGGUGGAAUGCGCAGAUAUCAGGAGGAACACCGAUGGCGAAGGCAGGUCACUGGGCCGCAACUGACGCUGAGGAGCGAAAGCAUGGGGAGCGAACAGG